rnacentral:tRNA from 1 species
GAGGCUGUAGCUCAGUGGCAGAGCACUUGCCUAGCAUGUGUGAGGCACUGGGUUCAAUCCUCAGCACCUCA